rnacentral:rRNA from 1 species
UACAGAGGGGGCAAGCGUUGUUCGGAAUUACUGGGCGUAAAGGGCGCGUAGGCGGCCGCCUAAGUCAGACGUGAAACUCCCUCGGCUUAACCGAGGAACUGCCUGAUCAAACUGCGUGGCUUGAGAGCCGGAGAGGUGAAGUGGAAUUCCCAGUGUAGCGGUGAAAUGCGUAGAUAUUGGGAGGAACACCAGUCGGCGAAGGCGGUUCUCUGGGCAACAACUGACGCUGAGGAGCGAAAGCGUGGGGAGCGAACCAGG